rnacentral:misc_RNA from 1 species
AACUUUUUACAACGCGUCACGUGGUUCUGGCGUCGAUGAAGAACGCAGCGAAAUGGGAUAAGUAGUGUGAAUUGCAGAAUUCAGUGAAUCAUCGAAUCUUUGAACGCACAUUGCGCCCCUUGGCAUCCCGAGGGGCAUGCCUGUUCGAGCGUCAUUUCACCACUCAAGCCCGGCUUGGUGUUGGGCGACGUCCCCUUUGGGGACGCGCCUUGAAACGCUCGGCGGCGUGGCACCGGCUUUAAGCGUAGCAGAAUCUUUCGCUUCGAAAGUCGGAGCCCCGUCUGCCGGAAGACCUACUCGCAAGGUUGACCUCGGAUCAGGCAGGGAUACCCGCUGAACUUAAGCAUAUCAAUAAGCGGAGGCU